ACAGCGACCAACUGCCUUCCCGACGCGCCCACACCCCGGCUCGCUGUGCGCGCCGGAAGAGCUCCCCGGCUGGGGAAGCGGCGUAGGUCUUUCCCAUUUUGUGGACUCCCAGUUCUGUAACCCUGCCCAUACAGCGAUCCCCUGGACUGCCACUGCAGGCCUCCUGUAAGAAAACCCAGAGCCAAGGAUCUGAAAGAUCCACACUUGGAUGCAGAGCAGCAGAUUCCCCAGAGUGACCCCAGCUAAGAAGCAGCCCUG